GAAAAGAAACUAACAAGGAUUCCCCUAGUAACGGCGAGUGAAGCGGGAUGAGCUCAAGCUUAAAAUCUCUGUGUCAGUUUGGCAUGGCGAAUUGUAGUCUAUGGAGGCGCUGUCAGUGCGACUAUUCGGGGUAAGUUCCUUGGAAGAGGACAGCAUCGAGGGUGAUACUCCCGUAUGUACCUGUGUAGUUGCGCGUACGACACGUUUUCUUUGAGUCGCGUUGUUUGGGAAUGCAGCGCAAAGUAGGUGGUAAAUUCCAUCUAAAGCUAAAUAUUGGUGCGAGACCGAUAGCGAACAAGUACCGUGAGGGAAAGAUGAAAAGAACUUUGAAAAGAGAGUUAAAGAGUACCUGAAACUGCUGAAAGGGAACCGAAUCGUUUCCAGUGUCUAUAAUCUAUGGCAUAUUUCAUUGGCGCGUGGAUGUGUGUAGCGUUUUGGAAGUAGGUUUCUGCUCCUGGCGUUGCUUUGCGUUCGCUUGCUGGUGCCCUGUGCUGUAGUGGGACGUCAGAGUCAGUUCGUAUGUUGCGGGAAAUGGUUAUUGGGGAGGUAGGUCGCUUCGGUGGCUGUUAUAUCCUGGUAACUAGUCGUCGUGGCUGGGACUGAGGUGCCUACAAUGUGCUUUCGAGUCUGCGGGCCUCUCGUUUGGCUGUUUGCUUUGAUAGCUUGCUAUGUUAGUGAACGUGUCAGGCGAUUGAGACCUGUAGUAACUUGUUGCCGUUCGGGACUGACGAA
rnacentral:rRNA from 1 species